rnacentral:ncRNA from 1 species
AAGGUUUGGUCCCAGCCUUGAAAUCAGUUCUUAUAAAAUAUACACAUGCAAGUCUCCGCACCCCAGUGAGAAAGCCCUCAACUCCCUAUUAGGGAACAGGAGCUGGUAUCAGGCCCACUCAACGCCCAUAACACCUAGUCUCGCCACGCCCACAAGGGUCUUCAGCAGUGAUUAACAUUGAAAAUAAGCGUCAGCUUGACUCAGUUAAUAUAUUUAGAGCCGGCUAAUCUGGUGCCAGCCGCCGCGGUUACACCAUUGUGGCUCAAAUUGAUUUCCUUCGGCGUAAAGUGUGAUUUAAGAGAACCACCAUAUCUGGAAUCCAACUGAAACUAAGCUGUGACACGCUUGUUACCCAUGAAGCCCACAAACGAAAGUUAUUCCACCUUCAUCAACUUGAACUCACGACAACUGAGAAACAAACUAGGAUUAGAUACCCUACUAUGCUCAGUCGUAAACUUUAAAUUACUCCCCCAUCUCGCCCGGGAACUACGAGCCAAGCUUAAAACCCAAAGGACUUGACGGUACCCCAUAUCCCCCUAGAGGAGCCUGUCCUAUAAUCGAUAACCCCCGUUUAACCUCACCAUUUUUAGCAACUCAGCCUGUAUACCUCCGUCGUCAGCUUACCACGUGAGCGCUAGUGAGCUCAAUGUUUUUCCAACUAAACGUCAGGUCAAGGUGCAACACAUGAAAUGGGAAGAGAUGGGCUACACUUUCUAAUAUAGAUCACACGGAAGACUAACUAUGAAAUCUAGUCAGAAGGCGGAUUUAGAAGUAAAAAGCAACCAGAGAGUCCUUUUUAACCCGGCACUGGGGUGUGUACACACCGCCCGUCACCCUCCUCGAUGCUAUCAAAGAGUUUUUAACACUUCACCGGCCCUUAAGAAGAGGCAAGUCGUAACAUGGUAAGCAUACCGGAAGGUGUGCUUGGUAA